ACGGAAGGCAGCAGUGGGGAAUAUUGGACAAUGGGGGAAACCCUGAUCCAGCGACGCCGCGUGAGUGAAGAAGUAUUUCGGUAUGUAAAGCUCUAUCAGCAAGGAAGAAAAUGACGGUACUUGACUAAGAAGCUCCGGCUAAAUACGUGCCAGCAGCCGCGGUAAUACGUAUGGAGCAAGCGUUAUCCGGAUUUACUGGGUGUAAAGGGAGCGUAGACGGCAAGACAAGUCUGAAGUGAAAGGCAUGGGCUCAACCUGUGGACUGCUUUGGAAACUGCCUUGCUUGAGUGCCGGAGGGGUAAGCGGAAUUCCUAGUGUAGCGGUGAAAUGCGUAGAUAUUAGGAGGAACACCAGUGGCGAAGGCGGCUUACUGGACGGUAACUGACGUUGAGGCUCGAAAGCGUGGGGAGCAAACAGGAUUAGAUACCCUGGUA
rnacentral:rRNA from 1 species